rnacentral:rRNA from 1 species
GGUGAACGCUGGCGGCGUGCUUAAGACAUGCAAGUCGAACGCAGUCUUCGGACUGAGUGGCGCACGGGUGAGUAACACGUAACUGACCUACCCCCAAGUCGCGAAUAACCAGCCGAAAGGAUGGCUAAUACGUGAUGUGAUGAUCCGCUGUGGCGGAUCAUUAAGGACUUGAUCGCUUGGGGAUGGGGUUGCGUUCCAUCAGCUAGUUUGUAAGGUAAAGGCUUACCAAGGCAACGACGGAUAGCCGGCCUGAGAGGGUGGCCGGCCACAGGGGCGCUGAGACACGCGUCCCACUCCUACGGGAGGCAGCAGUUGGGACUGUUCCGCAAUGGGCGCAAGCCUGACGCAGCGACGGCGCGUGGGGAAAGAAGGCCUUCGGGUUGGAAACCUCUUUUAAGAGAGAAGAAGCCACUCGGGUUAAUAGCCCAGAGGGUGACGGUAUCUCUAGAAUAAGCCCCGGCUAACUACGUGCCAGCCGCCGCAGUAGGAC